rnacentral:rRNA from 1 species
AUGGGUCGUUUCCUGCAUCUGUUAUGUCACGCCGCCGUCGCUCACCGCGUGCGUCCACCUAAUGCUACAGGCCCAAUCAGCCGGAGCGGCAUCUCGUGGAGGGGGAGUUGUCGCGCGGGACCGCAGGUGCCUAGGCCCUGGCGCAGCAGGGACGACUCAGCCAUGCCGACCGCGUCCUCCAACGCCCCCCCAACUCCUAGCCCUUCUCCAACGAUGGCGGCCCCUUCGAACGACAUCGACCGCGUGCUCCGGGGAAAUGGGCAGCGCCACCACUUGCCCACGGCCUGUCCCCCGACGCCAUGGACGCGGACGUCGCGGAGCCCGCCGCGGCCUCCCUCGCCGUCUGCGGCACCCAGUCGCGCCCCAAGCCCCGAGGGGUCAGCAUGGACGAUGUCGCCAACAUGGACGAUGCCAGCGGUGGCGGGUCGGGGGGUCACGCCGCGCGGCCACCGCUCUCCGGUCCCCGCCGCCUCGGCCUCCAUGGGCGCAUCCUCAUCGUGGCCAAUCGCCGUGGUGAGGAUGAGUGGUCCCUGGAGAGUGGAGACCAGCGCCGGUGGCCUGGUCAACGCCCUACGCGGUGUGAAGGAUGUGGAGGCGAAGUGGAUCGGCUGGGCCGAUGUGAACAUCCCCGACGAGGUUGGCCAGCGGGCUCUCGCCGAGGAGCUCACCAGCCUCGCCACGCUCAACCUCAGCAACAGCAGCGUCAGCCAUGGCGAGGCGGCAGCCGGUCUGGAGAAGCACCACGGCGUCCUCCAUUAA